UACCAGCACCCCGAGUGGUCGGGACGUUUAUUGGGCCUAAAGCGUCCGUAGCCGGUUCUACAAGUCUUCCGUUAAAUCCACCUGCUCAACAGAUGGGCUGCGGAAGAUACUAUGGAGCUAGGAGGCGGGAGAGGCAAGCGGUACUCGAUGGGUAGGGGUAAAAUCCGUUGAUCCAUUGAAGACCACCAGUGGCGAAGGCGGCCUGCCAGAACGCGCUCGACGGUGAGGGAUGAAAGCUGGGGGAGCAAACCGG
rnacentral:rRNA from 1 species